ACGGGGGGGGCAAGCGUUGUUCGGAAUUACUGGGCGUAAAGGGCUCGUAGGCGGCCACCUAAGUCUGACGUGAAAUCCCUCGGCUUAACCGGGGAACUGCGUCGGAUACUGGGUGGCUUGAAUCCGGGAGAGGGAUGUGGAAUUCCAGGUGUAGCGGUGAAAUGCGUAGAUAUCUGGAGGAACACCGGUGGCGAAGGCGGCAUCCUGGACCGGUAUUGACGCUGAGGAGCGAAAGCCAGGGGAGCAAACGGGAUUAGAUACCCCGGUAGUCCUGGCCCUAAACGAUGAAUGCUUGGUGUGGCGGGUAUCGAUCCCUGCCGUGCCGGAGCUAACGCGUUAAGCAUUCCGCCUGGGGAGUACGGUCGCAAGGCUG
rnacentral:rRNA from 1 species